rnacentral:rRNA from 1 species
GGGUUGUAAACUUCUUUUCUCGAAGAAGAAAAAAAUGACGGUAUUCGAGGAAUAAGCAUCGGCUAACUCUGUGCCAGCAGCCGCGGUAAGACAGAGGAUGCAAGUGUUAUUCGGAAUGAUUGGGCGUAAAGAGUCUGUAGGCGGUUUAGAAAGUCUUUUGUGAAAUACUUCAGCUCAACUGAGGCUCCGCAAAAGAAACUUCUAGACUUGAGGAAAGUAGAGGUACAGGGAAUUUCCGGUGGAGCGGUGAAAUGCGUAGAUAUCGGAAGGAACACCAAUAUGGCGAAGGCACUGUACUGGGCUUUUCCUGACGCUCAGAGACGAAAGCUGAAGGAGUGAUUAGGAUUAGAUACCCUAGUAAUUUCAGCCGUAAACGAUGAAAACUCACUGUCGAGCCAAUAUAUGGAGCGGUGGUCAAGCUAACGCGUGAAGUUUUCCGCCUGGGGAUUACGCUUGCAAAAGUGAAACUCAAAGGAAUUGACGGGGACCCGCACAAGCGGUGGAGUAUGUGGUUUAAUUCGAUGCAACGCGAAAAACCUUACCAGGGUUUGAAAUAAUUUCAAAACUUCUUGAAAGAGAAGCCUCCUUCGGGAUGGAAUUACAGGUGGUGCAUGGCUGUCGUCAGCUCGUGUUGUGAAAUGUCAAGUUAAGUCUUGUAACGAGCGCAACCCAUGUCUCUUGUUGCUGUUUACAGUGCUUAAGAGAAACUGCCGAUCAACAUCGGAGGAAGGUGUGGAUGAUGUCAAGUCAGCAUGCCCCUUACAUCCUGGGCUACACACGUACUACAAUGGUCGAGACAAAGGGUCGCUAACCUGCGAAGGUAUGCCAAUCUCAUAAACUCGAUCUCAGUUCGGAUUGUACUCUGCAACUCGAGUACAUGAAGGUGGAAUCGCUAGUAAUCGCUGGUCAGCAUACAGCGGUGAAUACGUUCCCGGGUCUUGUACACACUGCCCGUCACACCAUGGAAGUCGACCCUUCCCUAAGUCGUUACUCGAACCUGUAAAGGACGAGGACGCCGAAGGCAGAGUUGGUGACUAGGGUGAAGUCGUAACAAGGUAACC